rnacentral:misc_RNA from 1 species
GAUGAAGAACGUAGCGAAAUGCGAUAAGUAGUGUGAAUUGCAGAAUUCAGUGAAUCAUCGAAUCUUUGAACGCACAUUGCGCCUUCUAGUAUUCUGGGAGGCAUGCCUGUUUGAGCGUCAUUAAACCUCUCUCAAGUAUGAUUACUUGGAUGUGAAGGAAGAGUACCUUAAACUUAAGGAGUGUUCUCCUUUGAAAUUGAUUAGCAGAUGGUAAUGUUAUUAAAUUCCUGAUGUUGUAAGAAAUAACAGUGGUUUUGUAGACUAUUAUCUAGCUUUAAAUUAUAAUUUUUAUUAUGGUUGACCUCAAAUCAGGUAAGGAUACCCGCUGAACUUAAGCAUAUCAAUAAGCGGAGGA